rnacentral:rRNA from 1 species
UGAGUGGCGAACUGGUGAGUAACACGUGGGAAACCUGCCCAGAAGCGGGGGAUAACACCUGGAAACAGAUGCUAAUACCGCAUAACAACUUGGACCGCAUGGUCCGAGCUUGAAAGAUGGCUUCGGCUAUCACUUUUGGAUGGUCCCGCGGCGUAUUAGCUAGAUGGUGGGGUAACGGCUCACCAUGGCAAUGAUACGUAGCCGACCUGAGAGGGUAAUCGGCCACAUUGGGACUGAGACACGGCCCAAACUCCUACGGGAGGCAGCAGUAGGGAAUCUUCCACAAUGGACGAAAGUCUGAUGGAGCAACGCCGCGUGAGUGAAGAAGGGUUUCGGCUCGUAAAACUCUGUUGUUAAAGAAGAACAUAUCUGAGAGUAACUGUUCAGGUAUUGACGGUAUUUAACCAGAAAGCCACGGCUAACUACGUGCCAGCAGCCGCGGUAAUACGUAGGUGGCAAGCGUUGUCCGGAUUUAUUGGGCGU